rnacentral:rRNA from 1 species
CUCGUAGGUGGCCAACUAAGUCAGACGUGAAAUCCCUCGGCUUAACCGGGGAACUGCGUCUGAUACUGGAUGGCUUGAGUUUGGGAGAGGGACGCGGAAUUCCAGGUGUAGCGGUGAAAUGCGUAGAUAUCUGGAGGAACACCGGUGGCGAAGGCGGCGUCCUGGACCAACACUGACACUGAGGAGCGAAAGCCAGGGGAGCAAAACGG